AGUGAACGCUGGCGGUAGGCCUAACACAUGCAGGUCGAACGGCAGCACAGUAAGAGCUUGCUCUUACGGGUGGCGAGUGGCGGACGGGUGAGGAAUACAUCGGAAUCUACUUUUUCGUGGGGGAUAACGUAGGGAAACUUACGCUAAUACCGCAUACGACCUACGGGUGAAAGCAGGGGAUCUUCGGACCUUGCGCGAUUGAAUGAGCCGAUGUCGGAUUAGCUAGUUGGCGGGGUAAAGGCCCACCAAGGCGACGAUCCGUAGCUGGUCUGAGAGGAUGAUCAGCCACACUGGAACUGAGACACGGUCCAGACUCCUACGGGAGGCAGCAGUGGGGAAUAUUGGACAAUGGGCGCAAGCCUGAUCCAGCCAUACCGCGUGGGUGAAGAAGGCCUUCGGGUUGUAAAGCCCUUUUGUUGGGAAAGAAAAGCAGCAGGUUAAUACCCCGCUGUUCUGACGGUGCCCAAAGAAUAAGCACCGGCUAACUUCGUG
rnacentral:rRNA from 1 species